UACAGAGGGUGCAAGCGUUAAUCGGAAUUAUUGGGCGUAAAGGGCUUGUAGGCGGUUUAUUAAGUUAGGUGUGAAAACCCUGGGCUCAACCUGGGGCUGGCAUCUAAUACUGGUAAGCUAGAGUAUAGGAGAGGAGAAGGGAAUUUCUGGUGUAGCGGUGAAAUGCGUAGAUAUCAGAAGGAACAUCAGUGGCGAAGGCGCUUCUCUGGCCUAAUACUGACGCUGAGGAGCGAAGGCGUGGGGAUCAAACAGG
rnacentral:rRNA from 1 species